UGCCCCGCUAGCUCAGUUGGAUAGAGCACCGGUUUCCUAAACUGGAGGUCGCGCGUUCAAGUCGCGCGCGGGGCGU
rnacentral:tRNA from 1 species